AUGCAGGACUUUCAAACGAAUCCUCCAAAAUACUUUUCUCUUGCGGUACCUCUCCUUUGGUGCAUCUCAAGGAGUUGCCAAAGAAAAUACGUCUACAGGCAUAGAUUCAGCAAAUUUGUCUUUUUUGAACACAAACAAGAAUGUAAUGUACCCUCCUCAGCAAAUCCAUCCUGGGGAGGGGCUUUGAAUAAUUCCUCCUCAUAUGCUUUUGGAGGUGCUCCGUAUUACCUGGAUUUUCUGAACCCCAGUGGAUACCAGUAUGUUCCGCAUAUGCCCCUGCCAAAGAACUUUUCUUGUUCACAGAGUUUCCAAAGCUCUCACAGUGCGCAAAGUCUGAUUCCAAAACCAACUUUAGCCCCACCUCCUCCACCAAUUGUUAUUCCACCUCCAAUUCCUCAAGAGAAACAUUUCUACUUCCAGCCUGGGUAUAAUGCUCUGUACACCAAUCCGUAUUACACGAACCCACAGCUCAACGCUUUUUUGAGCAAAGGAGAUCCAAUGAAAAAUUGCUCUGGACUGAAACGUGACCUGACCGGUACUUACACGACCCCAGUCAUGGGAUAUCCAUCAGUCUACCCUAGCUGCUACCCUCCAUCAAAUGUUCCUUUGAACACCUCUCAUAACAAUUUAACUGCUGUCGUACCUCCAGUCCCAAAUCCUGUGAUUAACUUUCCAAACUCCUCUCAGCCAGUCUUAGGACAACCAUCAGUUUCUGAAAGUAAAAAUCUAACACAGAUACCCGUAGCCUCACUACCAGGAGCCUACAAUUUUACCGGCUCCAUUAAUUGUCCUCCUAUGAAAAAAGUCCCUGAUCCUCGUGAUGAAGCAACGUUGAUGGCUGAUGUCGCAAAAAAUAACUGCAACAAAACGCUUCAACAAAAUCAAUCAGUAGUGCCUGACCUUUCAUCCACCACACCUGAAGCAUCAGCCCCAUCUGCUCCAUGUGGAAUUGAAGUGUCAUCACCAGAAAGGAGUCCGAAACCUCCACCUCGUUUGAACAUCACAGGUUUAAUUCCUGAGCGGCUUCUUACCACACUCAAUUCAGCGGCCACCAAUGUAAAGGGAGUUUUUGCACCAAGUCGGGCUGGAAAAAAAGAUAGCUUUGUAGCUCAUUCCUCACAAAUUCUUCCUGAAUUUUUGUCCGCUUUCAUCAAAAAGGAACCAAUUCAGGUUCACAUCAUCACUCGAAGCUCUUUCCAAAGGUACUUUGUGAUACCAGUCAGUAAAUUAGGAGAGUCGCACAGUUUUCACAGUGAACUGAGAGCCUACAUGUCUUCUGAAGGAUGGCAAAACGUUUCACACUUAAUCUUCAGUCAGGUGACAUUUGCGCUCUACAUGAAAAUAUUCAGGAAGCAAAAGAGGGGAAAGAUUCUUUCAGCAGAGUGA
rnacentral:lncRNA from 1 species